rnacentral:rRNA from 1 species
GAUGAACGCUGGCGGCGUGCCUAAUACAUGCAAGUCGAGCGAACGGACGAGAAGCUUGCUUCUCUGAUGUUAGCGGCGGACGGGUGAGUAACACGUGGAUAACCUACCUAUAAGACUGGGAUAACUUCGGGAAACCGGAGCUAAUACCGGAUAAUAUUUUGAACCGCAUGGUUCAAAAGUGAAAGACGGUCUUGCUGUCACUUAUAGAUGGAUCCGCGCUGCAUUAGCUAGUUGGUAAGGUAGCGGCUUACCAAGGCAACGAUGCAUAGCCGACCUGAGAGGGUGAUCGGCCACACUGGAACUGAGACACGGUCCAGACUCCUACGGGAGGCAGCAGUAGGGAAUCUUCCGCAAUGGGCGAAAGCCUGACGGAGCAACGCCGCGUGAGUGAUGAAGGUCUUCGGAUCGUAAAACUCUAUUAUUAGGGAAGAACAUAUGUGUAAGUAACUGUGCACAUCUUGACGGUACCUAAUCAGAAAGCCACGGCUAACUACGUG